rnacentral:rRNA from 1 species
GACGAACGCUGGCGGCGUGCUUAACACAUGCAAGUCGAACGGAAAGGCCCUGCUUGCAGGGUACUCGAGUGGCGAACGGGUGAGUAACACGUGGGUGAUCUGCCCUGCACUUCGGGAUAAGCUUGGGAAACUGGGUCUAAUACCGGAUAGGAACCAUCUUUAGUGUGGUGGUUGGAAAGUUUUUUCGGUGUAGGAUGAGCUCGCGGCCUAUCAGCUUGUUGGUGGGGUAAUGGCCUACCAAGGCGGCGACGGGUAGCCGGCCUGAGAGGGUGUACGGCCACAUUGGGACUGAGAUACGGCCCAGACGCCUACGGGAGGCAGCAGUGGGGAAUAUUGCACAAUGGGCGCAAGCCGGAUGCAGCGACGCCGCGUGGGGGAUGAAGGCCUUCGGGUUGUAAACUCCUUUCGCUAGGGACGAAGCUUUUUGUGACGGUACCUAGAGAAGAAGCACCGGCUAACUACGUG